rnacentral:rRNA from 1 species
AUGAUGGAAAGGAAAAAUGUGCUCAAGUGCUUAGUAGAAGAAGUCUAUAAAAUGUUUGGCACUAAAUCUUUGAAUGAUGAGCAUGAUUGCAAUGUUGUUAGUAUGAACUCUUUGAAUAUCCAUAAUGCUUAUGAUAUGAAAAGGCCCAAGCUUGGGGAUGCUAUGUCUGCUCCCACUAUUCCGAAUGAGAAGAAUUUUGCUUAUGUGGAGAGUAAUAAAUAUUCUAUGCUUGUAGAUCAUGAAAAUAAUGCUUUAUGUGCUGGUUAUAUUGUUGAAUUCAUUCAUGAUGCUACUGGAAAUUAA